GAUGAACGCUAGCGGCAGGCUUAACACAUGCAAGUCGAGGGGUAUAGUUCUUCGGAACUAGAGACCGGCGCACGGGUGCGUAACGCGUAUGUAAUCUACCUUUUACAGGGGGAUAGCCCAGAGAAAUUUGGAUUAAUACCCCAUAGUAUGUUGUGGUGGCACCACUAUAACAUUAAAGUUCCAACGGUAAAAGAUGAGCAUGCGUCCAAUUAGCUAGAUGGUAAGGUAACGGCUUACCAUGGCUACGAUGGGUAGGGGUCCUGAGAGGGAGAUCCCCCACUCUGGUACUGAGACACGGACCAGACUCCUACGGGAGGCAGCAGUGAGGAAUAUUGGACAAUGGGCGCAAGCUUGAUCCAGCCAUGCCGCGUGCAGGAUGACGGUCCUAUGGAUUGUAAACUGCUUUUGUACAGGAAGAAACACUCCCUCGUGAGGGAGCUUGACGGUACUGUAAGAAUAAGGAUCGGCUAACUCCGUGCCAGCAGCCGCGGUAA
rnacentral:rRNA from 1 species